AGCCCUGUGGUGUAAAUGGCAACAUGCCUCACUUUGAAUGAGGAGAGUCCAGGUUCGACCCCUGGCGGGGCUU
rnacentral:tRNA from 1 species